AACAGGUAUGUGCCUCUAAACCGGACUUAGACGAGUCAGAGGUAGUUUCCUAUGAAAAUUCAAGGGCACACGAGACAGAGUCAGUUAAUCCAACACAGAAGAAAGAUGGUG
rnacentral:lncRNA from 1 species